rnacentral:rRNA from 1 species
CACGUAGGCGGAUCGGUAAGUCAAAUGUGAAAUCCCGGAGCUCAACUCCGGAACUGCAUUUGAUACUGCCAGUCUUGAGUGAGGUAGAGGGGGGUGGAAUUCCCGGUGUAGAGGUGAAAUUCGUAGAUAUCGGGAGGAACACCAGAGGCGAAGGCGACCCCCUGGGCCUUUACUGACGCUGAGGUGCGAAAGCGUGGGGAGCAAACA